GUUUAGGACCCUGGGUGGCGGGGUGAGAAGGAGCAGGGGCUCCUUCUUCCGGGACCGCUGGGGCGGCUAGGGGUGCGGGGCGCCGGGGGUGCAGCCCCAGAACAGAUUUCUGAUCCCUGACCUUGCUGUGAUCAUUGUGAUGGAACAAGAAAAAGAAUUGUUGAUCUCAUAUUCUAAUGGCUUCAUGGAGAAGGAGAGUUUGAAAAGCCCCUUCACAGAAGAUGAAAGUAAGAAUAAUUUGGAAACUUUUCAACACAAUAAUCCUAAGGCAGAUAAACUUAAAGAGAGAGCUUCAAAUUGGUCUAAAAGAAAUGGCCCACAAAAUUCUCAACAUGAGGAUACAAAAGAAAUGCCAUUGACAGCAUCCCAAGGAGAUGACAUUUGGUCUCAAGAUUCCUAUGAGAAUAAUGUCAAGUUAGAGAAUUGGGGAAAUUCUGUAGGGAAAGAAGAGGAAAAACCAAAUUACCAGGAAUGGGACCCAGGAAAACAUACCAGUGCUUCUGUCCAGCAGAAUUCAUCCUUUGGAGACAAGCCCUACAAAUGUUCUGAAUGUCGGAAAAGCUUCAGUAAGAGUUCCCAUUUGCGUUCUCACCAGAGGACCCACUCGGGAGAAAAGCCUUAUAAGUGCUCUGAGUGUGGGAAAUGCUUUUGUAACAGUUCUCACCUGAUUCAGCAUCUAAGAAUGCACACAGGAGAGAAGCCCUACCAGUGUGGUGAAUGUGACAAAAGCUUCAGCAAUACCUCCCAUCUUAUUAUCCACCAGAGAACUCACACGGGAGAGAAACCCUAUAAGUGUCCCGAGUGUGGGAAGAGUUUCAGUAGCAGCUCUCACCUUAUUCAGCAUCACAGAUCACAUACAGGUGAAAAACCAUAUGAAUGUCCUGUUUGUGGAAAAGGUUUCAGCCACAGCUAUGUCCUAACAGAACAUCAGAGGACUCACACUGGAGAAAAACCUUAUAGGUGCCCUGAUUGUGGGAAGAAUUUUAGACAGAGUUCCAGCCUUAUUCGCCACCAGCGGACACACACAGGUGAGAAGCCCUACAAAUGUUUUGAGUGUGGAAAAAACUUUGGUUGUAAUUCUACUCUAAAAAAGCAUCAGAGAAUACAUACAGGAGAAAAACCCUAUCAGUGUCUAGAAUGUGGGAAGAAUUUUAAUCGAAGUUCAAACCUUAUUACACACCAGAAAACACACACAGGAGAGAAAUCCUAUGAAAGUUCUGAAUAUGAAGAAAGUUCGAGUCAGAACUGCAAUGUGAUGGAAGAAUGUAGAACCCAGCCAGAGGAGAAACCAUAUAAAUGUGAAUGUGGAAAGAGUUUCGGCCUUAGCUCCCAUCUCAUUAGACAUCAGAGAACACAUACAGGAGAAAAACCUUACAGAUGUUCUGAGUGCUGGAAAACUUUUAGUCAGAGCUCCACACUGGUGAUUCACCAAAGGACACACACGGGAGAGAAACCUUAUAAAUGUCCUGAUUGUGGUGAAUGCUUCAGUCAAAGCUUUAACCUCAUCAGGCACCGGAGAACCCACAUAGAAAAAAAACCUUACAAAUGUACCAGCUGUGAGAAAUGCUUCAGUAGAAGUGCCUAUCUCAAUCAGCAUCGGAAAAUUCACAUAAAGUCCUUUGAGUCUCCUGAAGUUGGAGAUUUUCCUCAUGAAUGACUUGGAAAAACUAUUCAAAGGAAAUACCCCUUAUCCCUUCAUCUUCAGUCUCAAAUUCAUCUUUUUCCUGAGUCCCAAAGCCUUGUUGUUUCCAGCCCCCAACCCUUCCCACCCCCUCCAUUGGACCAUUACGAUUAAGGUAUCGUGAUCAUUGUGCUAUACAGUUUCUUUGGAGUAUUUGUCAAAACAUUUGGAAAAUCUCAACCUCUCACUUUAGAGGAUGGGAAGACCCAGGUCA